rnacentral:rRNA from 1 species
AAACUUGAGCUAAUACCGGAUGUGCCCUUCGGGGGAAAGAUUUAUCGCCAUUGGAGCGGCCCGCGUCGGAUUAGCUAGUUGGUGGGGUAAAGGCCCACCAAGGCUACGAUCCGUAGCUGGUCUGAGAGGAUGAUCAGCCACACUGGGACUGAGACACGGCCCAGACUCCUACGGGAGGCAGCAGUGGGGAAUCUUGCGCAAUGGGCGAAAGCCUGACGCAGCCAUGCCGCGUGAAUGAUGAAGGUCUUAGGAUUGUAAAAUUCUUUCACCGGGGACGAUAAUGACGGUACCCGGAGAAGAAGCCCCGGCUAACUUC